rnacentral:lncRNA from 1 species
GGUUUGGUGAAGAGGUGUUUACGUAAGGUGCUGGGGAAUGCCAAGUUGACAUUCGAAGAACUGUUGACGACUUUAGUUGAGGUUGAAGGCACGUUGAAUUCUAGACCGUUAACCUACAUUUACGAUGAGGUUGAAAACGAUGUACUAACACCGAAUCAUUUGAUCUUUGGUCGUAGAUUGAGUUUAAUUCCAGACGAGACUAGUUACAAAAUUGAAGAGAAUGAUGAGACAAAGGUUAAGCGUAGGUUUAGGCAUCUAGCGAAACUGGCGAGUUCACUUUUGGGAGAGAUGGAGAAAAGAAUACUUGACGAAUUUGAGAGAGCAUCAUAGAAGUAAGAGGGAGAAGAGGGAUAGUAACGUGAAGAAGGGAGAUGUAGUUUUAGUAUUUGACGAGAACCUUAAGAGAGGAUUUUGGAAGUUAGGUAGGAUUGAGAGUUUAAUUGUCGGUAGAGAUGAAGUGGUUCGAGGAGCGAAAGUGAGAGUGAUGACUAAAGGAAAUCCAGUAUAUCUUAAUAGACCAGUUCAGAAAUUGUAUCCUGUAGAGUUAAAUGAGAACGGAAGCAGUACGGAAGAAAGAAAGGAUAAUAAAGUUGAAAAUGAAGUGGAUGGGUACGAUAACCAGAAAGGAAAGACGAAAAUUAAUGAGAAAGGAAAGACGGAAAUGAAUGAGAAAGACGGAGAGAAGGGUAAGGUGGAAAGCUGUGUCCAUAGUAAUAGACCUAGGAGAGCAGCAGCUUUGGAUGCACGUUGGAGAACACAAGUCAUGUUUGACCCUUACAGGCUCAAAGGGGGGAGUGUGUAGAAUAAUUUGUAACAUUAUACUAUUGAUAACGCCGUAGGAGACCAAACAAUGGGUGAUUUAGUUGAUUGACGUAAGAAAUGUAUCGUAUGUCAUAAAUAUUAGACUUUGAAUUGAUUGUCAGACGGAAAGCACGAGAGAAACCCAGAAGGAUUGUUAUGUUAGUGUAUUUAUCGUUUGAAUAGUUUAAAUAAAUAUGUUUUAAAGUACGCGUGUGUGUUCUAUUUCCGAUGGUAUUGUUCUGAUAGUAUACAGUCCCAACGAAGCGCAACUGUCUUGCGGUGUAAGACAGAAAAGUGCAACACAUAAUAACGUACGUUAUUUUGUCAGAAUGGAAAUAAUUCUUAAUGCCAU